GAUGAACGCUGGCGGCGUGCCUAAUACAUGCAAGUCGAGCGAACAGACGAGGAGCUUGCUUCUCUGAUGUUAGCGGCGGACGGGUGAGUAACACGUGGAUAACCUACCUAUAAGACUGGGAUAACUUCGGGAAACCGGAGCUAGUACCGGAUAAUAUUUUGAACCGCAUGGUUCAAAAGUGAAAGACGGUCUUGCUGUCACUUAUAGAUGGAUCCGCGCUGCAUUAGCUAGUUGGUAAGGUAACGGCUUACCAAGGCAACGAUGCGUAGCCGACCUGAGAGGGUGAUCGGCCACACUGGAACUGAGACACGGUCCAGACUCCUACGGGAGGCAGCAGUAGGGAAUCUUCCGCAAUGGGCGAAAGCCUGACGGAGCAACGCCGCGUGAGUGAUGAAGGUCUUCGGAUCGUAAAACUCUGUUAUUAGGGAAGAACAAAUGUGUAAGUAACUAUGCACGUCUUGACGGUACCUAAUCAGAAAGCCACGGCUAACUACGUG
rnacentral:rRNA from 1 species